UAUUCUUUUCGGCACACAUUUUAACUAAUAUGUCAGUAUUGACUGCCAACACUAAUAUAUUAGUACUCCUAUGUACUUUGUGCAUUACUGUUAAUCCCCAUGAAUAAUAUAUG
rfam:Nomascus leucogenys chromosome 5, whole genome shotgun sequence.